rnacentral:lncRNA from 1 species
GCCACAGCUACACCAGAUCCAAGCUGCGUCUGCGACUUAACACCACAGUGCAGGGCAACGCCAGGUCCUUAACCCCCUGAGCGAGGCCAGGGAUCGAACCCACAACCUCACGGUUCCUGGUUGGAUUUGUUUCCGCUGUGCCACGACGGGCGCGCCCAGCAAAACAUUUCCUGGGCCUUUGGUUCCCGUGUUACACUCUAUACGGGGUAAAAUCUACCACCGCUUUUGAUGUGAAGAUUGAAUCAGAUAAUGAAUGGAUCACCCCUAAUUCACCCCCUACCUAGAGUAGAUGCUCAUUAAAUGGCUUUCCCAAACCAGCCCAAGCUGCUUUAUUUGAGGUACUGGAGCAGUUUGACGCCUCUUGAUUCUUGGUAACAACUCCACGUGUUCAUGCUGUCAUGAGAAGCAGAAGACACGCCUCUUUAGGGGUGCCGGGUUUGGGGUGGAAGCCCUCUCCCCAUCCAUCCUUAAGCUUCCAAAUCCCUGCGUCACCUUGACCUUCAGGAAGCCUUGGUUCUGCUGCCAGUGUCAGCACAGCCAACUGCUUCUCCCUCCGUGGCUUGUCCACAUGCACUCACAGCUCAUCUCAAAACUUCUCCCUUUCCUGCAUCCACGUUGCCUUCAUGUCUUGCUCCUCGGCCGUGAAGUAGGUAUUGAUUUCUGUUAAGAUGAACAUCAGGAUGUAUUGAGUGGAGAGGGAAAUACUGGCAGAGGCAGGGAGGGGGGCAUUCUGCCCCUCCCUCCCCAUCCUGUUUGUGGCUUCGAGAAUUGGGAGAGCCCCAAGGUGGCACCCCCACCUGUUGCAGCAGGAGAAUUGCCCACCUUGGGGCUGGGCAGGUAACUAACCCUUUACAAAUGGACCAGAUUAAAGCGAACCUCAUGCCUCUUGUUUCAAGCAUCCCUCGUCCUGGCAUCAGGGUUGGCACAAGGUGGAUGUUAACAGGUAUUUAUCGAAGGAAGAAACGGAGGGAGGAAUGUCUAGUGAGGCAUUGGGCCUCCCCGCUUUCUCUGGGCAAAGGGGAAGGGAUGCAGAAUUUGUAUGAGGAGUGUUGCCACGUGUUUGUAUUUACGCAAAGUGCAUGUUUCUGCUCCGGAGCAGAAUUGGCUCCCCAAAUACUAAAGCUGGGAGUGAGUGACCUUCUGCACUUCCUGAAUUUUCAGGAUGGUGGGCGCUGGUUUAGAGUGGGGAGGGGGAGUCCCAGGGCCACAGGCCAAUGCUUGGCAGAACUUAGGGAGGCUUUUGGUCCAUGCCCUCAUCUUUCCCCCUGGUUCUUGAUUUUCUCAUGUCUGUCCCAGCCUGUCUCCCUGUCUGUUGCACUCUUUAUCUCCUUACCUGUGUGAGAGUUAGAAGUACAUAUUUGGUUUCUGCCCUGAUUUCUGACACAGAGCUAAGAAAAACCCUUGUCCUUUCCUGAGCGAUAUGAGUGGGAGAAGUGUCUUUGGUUAUUCCUAAGCCCCUUUCAAACUGAACCGAGUUUAUGCUAAUGAGGUGACACCUGGUGGGCCUCCAAAUAGCUUUUGGAUGGGGGCACUGGUUGCCAGGGCAACCAGUGGGAGGUGAGGGUGUCUGGGCAUUCAUCUCCAGUGGCCAGUGGUUUAAUCCACCAUGCCCACUUGAUGAAAACCAAGGGUUUGGAGACAGCACCCUGUUGGUGCACACUUGGAGGUGCUGGGAGGGUGGGCAUGGAAGCUCUGAGCCCGUCUGUCUUCUUCCCUACCCUGGGCACCUCUUUUCUUUUGGCUCUUCCUGAGUUGUAUCCUUUAUAUUAAAAUAGUGAUCGUAAGUCAAGUGCUUUCCUGAGUUCUGUGAGCUGGACCAGCAAAUUAUCAAACCCAAGGAGGGGAUCUUGGGAACACUCAGACCUUGUAGCUGGUUGGUCAGCAGUAUGGGGGGCCCGCACUUGUGACGGGUGUCUGAAAUGGGGGGUUUGCACCAAGUGCAGGUGGUGUCAGAAUCGACCUGGGUUGGAGGACACGCAGUUGAUACGGGGGAAGGACAACCCCACACAUCCGGUGGCAGAAGUGUUGAGUAGAAACAGUUCAGCCUGUCCAUGGCCUUACGUGUUUGUCAUUUCGUAAUUCAGAAGGGUCUUCACUGAGCUCUCUUUGGGCACGUUAAUGUCCCUGUGGCCCAGUUUUCACCAAAAAAAGAGUAUUGUGAGGAUUAUAUAGGCAGGGGUUUCUCAACCUUGGCACCUAGACACUCGGGGCCUGAAAAUUCUUUGUAUUAUAUGAAGUUGAACAGUUUAUUGGCCUCUACCUGCUAGAUGCCAAUAGCACCACACCCUCACCCCCAACACAUACAGCUGUGACAUUGCAAUUGUCUCUAGCCAUUGCCAAGUGUCCCCUUGGGGUCAAAGUCACCCUCUGCUGAGAAGUCGUGGCAUAGAAUAAGGUGUUAUUAAACAGAGUUCAAAACAGCACCCUUCUUCUUCUGAUGGUUCUUUCAUUUAUCCCCUGAGUAUUUAUGUAGUGCUUACUGUGUGCAGUGCAUGGCACUAGCUCAGAGAAACAAAUGCGGGGUGAAACCUGUUGUUUUUUGCCUUCUGGUAGGUCAUGGUGGGGUAAGAGAAUCUUCCGAGAUCGACUUGCUUGUUCUGUUCUGAUGAAAUAACAGCAGGACGGUAGUCAGGUGCGUUCACUGACUCAGGCCUCUUCUCCUCUUCUGUUUCCCCGUGAACGUGGCAACAGGGGGAGGGAAGGACCUUCUUAGGUGGUCCUCUGGUUCACGUUUUGGGACUUAGUGAAGCGGAGGUUCUUCUGUCUCGGCACAGAAAAAAAGUCAGCGAGAGGCAGAGGAAGGAAAGCGUUUAUUAGUACAGGAUGCUUGUGAGAGAUACAAGUGGGCAGGCAGGGGAGUGCCACCCUGAGUAUGUCAUGGGCUCCGGUUUUACAAUCAAAGGAAAAGCGGGGAGCAGGGGAGACCACCUUCUUCCUCGUCCUUGAGUAGACGGAUUCCCAUCAUCAGCUUCUCCUCCAUGUAGAAUAGGGACGUUUUCUUGUCCCACCAUGGCCCACCUGGGACUGUCAUGGCCUUACGGAAAUGGGGAAGAAGGCGGCAGCCUAUGCGACAAGACGGAAAGUCAUCUCAGGUUUCAGCAUCAUGUGACCUUUCCCUAUAUUUUUGUUUUUCGUGUGUGCAGAGGCGUAUGUCCUAGGAAUCAUUAACUUACUGACCUCACCAGGCUGGAUGUGGGUCUGAUUUCACCAUUGUUUUAUCCCUGGGGAGGGCGGGGAGCGGGGGGGAGAUGUCUCAGGCUUUGGUGGCACGGUCUUGUUCUUACGUAAGCCUCCUUGGUUGUGUGGUUAAGUCAGCCUGCUUUCUCGAGUGAUUGUUCCCUUACGGGGGCCUCCUAUGCUUUUUUCUUACGAUCCGUGCAUGGGCUUAGCUAUUUAAUCACCUGCUCUGUCACUUUCCUCUGUCCCUACCCAGUUCCUGAUGCACCCUGGCCUGGGAGAGACCGUCCCUGAAUCAGAGCAGCCGGCUCUUUGCAAGGACAGACCCUGUCCGUUGCUGCCACUGGCCUGAGCUUUCAGAAUCCCACCAGGAUCUGGAGGCAGAGCCCGCCACUGCCCCUGUGCCCCCUCCACACAGCCGCAGAGGGGGGUCCUCUCAGCCCACACGGUGUCAUUGCAGAGUCCCUCUGCUCGAAGCCCUCCAUCCGACCUGACCAUUGGCCUUCCAGGAUCUUCUGGAGCUGCUCUUCUCCCUCUGACCCACCCCCACCCACGCCUCUCCUGUCUCUGCUCCUCCGUUCUCGCCCCCUUCAGCUCCCCUGUUCCCACCACAGCUGCUUCCCGGGCUGUGCUCACUGCCCUGGCCCUUCCGGGAAUGGGGUCCCCCAGGUCCAGCAUGGCACACGCGCUCCCGCCCCCAGGCUUUUGUUCACACAUCGUCUUGUAAGAGAAGCCUUCCCCCAGGGCCCUUUACGAAACAGCAGCCCCUCCUCCACCCCGCCUGCCCGUGUCUCCUCUCCCUUUCUUCACAAUUUGUGAUCGCCACCUAACGCAUCCACCGUAUUUUGAUAAGACUGUUGCUUAUCUCUGUUCUCCCACUAGACUCUCGAUGCCCUGAAGGCUGGCCAUUUGUUGAGCUUGUUCAGGGUCCAGAGGAGUGCUUGGCAUGUUCCUGAAAAUUCAGUAAUAGCUAGGGAAGGAACAGAGGAAUGAGCAGAUGGACCGAUGCACAGAUGGACAGAUUUUUCUCUUGAGAAAGGAGGGGUUAAGGUGACCGUGUUAAUGCAACGUUGCAGGAGUGUGCAGCACUUGUGUGCAUGUUGUGUGGGCAUGAUGGGCUCCAGUUCCAGGACCUGGGUCCUAGUAGGAUCAUUGCUCUUGAAAGCUCUGAGUGGGGGGACUUCCUGUUGAGGCUCAGCAGGUUAAGGACCUGAUGUUGUCUCUGUGAGGAUGCAGGUUCAGUCCUCAGCCUGGCUCAACAGGUUAAGGAUCCCGUGUUGCCGUAAGCUGCAGUGUAGAUCACAGAUGCGGCUCAGCCCUGGUGUUGCUGUGGCUGUGGCAUAGGCUGGCAGCCGCAGCUCUGAUUCAACCCUAGCCUGGCAACUUCCAUAUGAUACGGGGGCAGCCCUACAAAAAAUAAAGCUUUGAGUGGGGUGAGGUCCAUGUUAGGUCAGUCUUGCCUUUAUCUCUUGAGAUGGUUUUCUCUGGUUAAUGAGCCCACAAGGGCAGGAAAGAGCCCUGUAAACUCUGAGGCCAACAGCCCCGGGUCCACCCCUCUGACCCCAUAGCCUCAUGGCCUUUGUGUUCUGGACCCUUCGUCCCAGGACUCUUGCUGCUCCCCCUGCUUUGCUCCUUCCUGACAUGUUUCUCCUUCCAUCCUUUCCAUUGAACGCAUGCAGAAUUUUGAGGAGGAAAUAAAACCAUGCAUUUCAUUAUUGUCACUCCUCUAAUGGCUUGUCUUGUGCUCAGCGUCAUGUGCAGAAUCCGCCCAUCACCCUGGGCUGCUCCACCGGCCAGGCCCUGCUCUGGCUGAAGGUGGUGUUGGGAGCUGCAGGCAUGAGUCAGGUCUCCCAAAGACACCAUGACGCAUGAGCCAUGGGAAAACCAAAGGGGCUCGGGGUGGCUGUGUGGGUGGUGGGAUCCUGGAAGAUGGGAUUUUUUUUUUCCCUUCCAAGUCCAGCACAAAUACUCCCUCCAACCGUGCUUUUGUCCGUCUCUGAAUCCCACGCCCCCAUUCUUUUUCCUCGGUUCCUUGGUUAAACCCAUAUACCCUGGACCCAGAUCUGCCUGGUAUUGCAGCUCUUCCUGUCUGUGUGUAAGGUCCUUGGAAUCAGCAACUGCCUUUUUCAUCCUUUCCGCCUUCGAACUGGACAGCACAUCCCACCCAGUCGAGUAGGACCUCAAAAGUGUCUUUGGAAAUGAACUGGCUGCUAGGAGAAAGGGGGCAUGGGCGAGGAAGUCUCUAGAAUUUCUUUGCCUGUUAACCAAGUUUUGAAGUUACUACUUGAGGGGCCCAGAGCUGGAAGGCCUCCUCCCCUCCCCUUCUUGCCUGGGAAUUCAUUUCCUGCGUUUCCCUGUUCACAAAAGGUCCAUGAAGUUCUUUAAAUUGGAACCGUUCCGUGUCAUUACCCCUGAUGGCUGUCCUGUUUGAAUCAACCUUUGUUAGCUCUUAUCUGGCCUUGCCUUCUGCCUUCUGUCAUUCCCUCCAUUCUUCUAGAGACCUCAGAGGAAUCGUCCUUAAAGGGCUGCACCCCUUCUGCUCAAAAACCUUCCAUGGCUCCCUCCUGCCUGGAGGACAAGAGUCAGGCCGGAAGUUGUUAGCUUCACACUGACUGCCUUCUGCAAUCUGCCCCUGACUUUCCUUCCUGACUCUAUCAAAGCGAUUGGCUCCCAAACACCAACCUCAACCACCACUCUUGACCUUAACCCUCAGUGUAGCCUUGCUUUGGCCAUCAGAGUUGGUUCCCCAAAUGCACGUGUCCCUCUGCUCUCUGUGCUGUUGGGGCCCACCACCUCCCUGGGCCAACCCGUGCUCUGCAGAGUCCAUCUGAACGGUGUCCGCUGCCAACACUGUUCCUUGUUGCGCUUUUU